UACGGAGGGGGCUAGCGUUGCUCGGAAUCACUGGGCGUAAAGCGCACGUAGGCGGAUUGUUAAGUCAGGGGUGAAAUCCUGGAGCUCAACUCCAGAACUGCCUUUGAUACUGGCGAUCUCGAGUCCGGGAGAGGUGAGUGGAACUGCGAGUGUAGAGGUGAAAUUCGUAGAUAUUCGCAAGAACACCAGUGGCGAAGGCGGCUCACUGGCCCGGUACUGACGCUGAGGUGCGAAAGCGUGGGAGCAAACAGG
rnacentral:rRNA from 1 species